GCUAGUAAUGGCAGGUCAGCAUACUGCCGUGAAUACGUUCCCGGGCCUUGUACACACCGCCCGUCACACCAUGAGAGUUGGGAAUACCCGAAGCCUGUGAGCUAACAUUAAGGGGCAGCAGUCGAAGGUAGAAUCAAUGAUUGGGGUGAAGUCGUAACAAGGUACC
rnacentral:rRNA from 1 species